rnacentral:tRNA from 1 species
GUUCUUGUAGUUGAAUAACAACGAUGGUUUUUCGAGUCAUCGGUCUUGGUUAGAGUCCUAGCAAGAAUU